rnacentral:rRNA from 1 species
UACGUAGGGUGCAAGCGUUGUCCGGAAUUAUUGGGCGUAAAGAGCUCGUAGGCGGUUUGUCGCGUCUGCUGUGAAAUCCCGAGGCUCAACCUCGGGUCUGCAGUGGGUACGGGCAGACUGGAGUGCGGUAGGGGAGAUGGAAUUCCUGGUGUAGCGGUGGAAUGCGCAGAUAUCAGGAGGAACACCGAUGGCGAAGGCAGUUCUCUGGGCCGUAACUGACGCUGAGGAGCGAAAGCGUGGGGAGCGAACAGG